AUUGAACGCUGGCGGCAUGCCUUACACAUGCAAGUCGAACGGUAACAGGUCUUCGGAUGCUGACGAGUGGCGAACGCGUGAGUAAUACAUCGGAACGUGCCUAGUAGUGGGGGAUAACUACUCGAAAGAGUGGCUAAUACCGCAUGAGAUCUACGGAUGAAAGCAGGGGAUCGCAAGACCUUGUGCUACUAGAGCGGCCGAUGGCAGAUUGGGUAGUUGGUGGGAUAAAAGCUUACCAAGCCGACGAUCUGUAGCUGGUCUGAGAGGACGAUCAGCCACACUGGGAAUGAGACACGGCCCAGACUCCUACGGGAGGCAGCAGGGGGGAAUUGUGGACAAUGGGCGAAAGCCUGAUCCAGCAAUGCCGCGUGGAGGGUGAAGGCCUUCGGGUUGUAAACUGCUUUUGUACGGAACGAAAAGCUCUGGGUUAAUACCCUGGGGUCAUGACGGUACCGUAAGAAUAAGCACCGGCUAACUACGUGCCAGCAGCCGCAGUAAGAC
rnacentral:rRNA from 1 species